rnacentral:tRNA from 1 species
GCCGAGGUGGCGAAACGGUAGACGCGCUGCGUUCAGGUCGCAGUGUCCUUUUGGAUGUGUGGGUUCGAAUCCCUCCCUCGGUACCA